rnacentral:lncRNA from 1 species
GAUGUGAACUGUCUAUGGGUUUCUCAGCUGUGGAUACCAGCACCUGUUCUGGUGGGGGUGGCAGAGGGUGCUGGCUCCGUGAGGGUUCUUAGCUUUGGUGGUUUAAUGCUCUAUUUUUGUGCUGGUUGACCUCCUGCCAAGAGGUGGCGCUUUCCAGAAAGCAUGAGCUGUAGUAAUGCGGAGAGGGACCAGUAGGGCGCAGGGCCCUAGAACUCCUAAGGUUAUAUGUCCUUUGUCUUCCAGUACCAGGGUGGGUAGGGAAGGACCAUCAGGUUGGGGCAGGGCUAGGUGUGUCUGAGUUCAGACUCUCCUUGGGCGGGUCUUGCUGUGGCUGCUGUGAGAUUCCCAGGUCACCAGAGCUGUGUACCUAGGAGGAUUACCGCUGCUCCUGCUGAGUCAUGCAGGUUGUCCGGGAAGAGGGGAAAAGCCGGCAAUCACAGGCCUCACCCAGCUCCCACGCAAACCGAAGAGCUGGUCUCACUCCCACAGUGCCACCCACAGCCUGUUUCCAGGCGGAGAGCGGGCUUAAAAACUUGUCCGAGGCUUUCCACCUCCCAGCUGCAAAAGAAAAGGGCUUCAGUUCUUCCCUCACCUGUGAAGUCUGCAAGCCAGAUUCACACCCUCUCCUGCGUUCUGGCCAGGAGGCUUCUCUCCCUGCUCAAAUUGUUACAAAGUUCAGGCAGAUGAUCCUCCUUCUGUGGUCACCACCACCACAAGCCCAUAGGAAGCAUCGCUGAUGUUCCCUUAAGACCCAAGAUUUCUUCAGUCAAAUGAUGAGACACCACAUGCCUGCUUAACUCUGAUCUUUUAACUCAAUGGGAGAAUCUACAGGGAAAUUCCCUGGACAACGCUGCAUUGUCUUUGUUUACACAUGGCUCAUAUUUAAAGAAUGAUUCUGAAAACAUCAGCUUCUUUGUGGACCUGCAUUCCUGUCAACAAAUUGAAAUUAAAAAUGCCUGGGAUUUGAAGAAGAUAGCAUCUGAAUAGACGACUUUUCCCAAGAUGGACCAGGCCUGUAUAUCUUUUUCUAAUUUCUGAUUCUCAUUUAUUUUAUAUCCCUCUCCCCUAAAAGGAAAAUGCCCUUAUUGACAUUUUCCAGUCUGUCACCACCAGGAAUUCUUAAUAAUUUUUGGAUGUGCCAUCAGAAACUUCAACACGUUUAUGACUCUAAUAACUCCCUACUUCAACCUAUAACAGAUUUCACUAAGAUCUCGUCUCAAACCACCUGUAAAAAUUGCACUGUUGUACCCUUCUAUUGAAGGCUUCUGUUGAAGGCUUCUGUUGAAGGCUUCUGAUGAAGCUUCUGUUGAAGCUUCCUCAUUUACCCUUAACUCCUCUUCUUUGCCUUACCUUGUUAGUGGCCUCCUAAUUCUGCCUCGGGGAUUUUCAAUAAAUUGUUACUUCU